rnacentral:rRNA from 1 species
CCUACGGGGGGCUGCAGUGGGGAAUAUUGCACAAUGGGGGAAACCCUGAUGCAGCGACGCCGCGUGAAGGAUGAAGUAUUUCGGUAUGUAAACUUCUAUCAGCAGGGAAGAAAGUGACGGUACCUGACUAAGAAGCCCCGGCUAACUACGUGCCAGCAGCCGCGGUAAUACGUAGGGGGCAAGCGUUAUCCGGAUUUACUGGGUGUAAAGGGAGCGUAGACGGGAUAGCAAGUCUGAAGUGAAAGCCCGGGGCUCAACCCCGGGACUGCUUUGGAAACUGUUGACCUGGAGUGCUGGAGAGGCAAGUGGAAUUCCUAGUGUAGCGGUGAAAUGCGUAGAUAUUAGGAGGAACACCAGUGGCGAAGGCGGCUUGCUGGACAGUGACUGACGUUGAGGCUCGAAAGCGUGGGGAGCAAACAGGAUUAGAUACCCUAGUAGUC